rnacentral:lncRNA from 1 species
UCUGUUUGGAUCAUGGUUUCUUUAUGAACAUAUUCACUGAACAUGUUGCUACCCUAUUACAGAUCUUACCAACGUCAUCAACAGUCAAGGCAGACAUCUUUCUUCAAGAAAUCUGCCAAAAAGGAAAAACACUGAAAUUGGACCAGUAAAGCUGCAAGACUUUGUCGGCCAGUCAAAAGUGGACGCUGCAAUCCAAGGUGAAACUUUCUUUCUCAUGGUGGGGCACACGCAUGAAGAUUUGGAUCAACUGUUAAGUGUUUAGUGCAAGGGAACUUAGACAGAAGCCUGCAACAACCCGCGAUGCCCUCCUUCAAGAUUGGGGACAUCCGGACACCCACCACCAAGCUAUCAGACUUCAAGCCCUUCAUGCCUGCCCCAAGGGAAGCGACAACCCUCCCAACUAAAGUUCAAGAGGCAAUAGAGAAGAACAAUGAAAAACUGCAAAAACAAUCAAAGAUCACUCUGACAAAGCACCGAAGACAAGCGUCAGUAUCAGAACAAUAAAGAAG